rnacentral:lncRNA from 1 species
UGCAUUCUAUAGUUAUGUGUAUGUUGUUGUCAUACAUCAAAUGAUAAUACACAUGGAAAUUUAGCUAGAACUUAUGUAAAACCCUAGUUAUCCUUAUAGUUUUCACCGUCUACCUCGAGAGAAACCCUUCCGUUUGCCACAAAUUCCUCCACCUUGACCAAGAUUUAAAUAGUUGAUCCAAAACACUUCUCUCCAAUGCCCUCAGCAACCUUCCCAAACAAUCUUACUUACAUCAAGUUAAGUCAAACCAAAACUUCUCUGUGUAGAACCCUAGCCUUCAACCACCACAAAUGAAGACUGGUUUUGCACAAUGCAAGACACAAGGUUCUCCUUCCAAACCUAAAACCUCAAAAUACCCAAACCUGCUCUUGCUGAGCCUACCUCGAAAACAGAAGACCGAAUGGUCAUCAAGGUCAUCAAAAAAAGAAAACCUGCUUUGGUCUCAUACCAAUUAAUUGAGCCUUGCAAACUAUUCUACCUAACAUCUCUGAACCCUCCAAAUUCCAACUUACUCCAUCAUCAUCGCCCUGACCAGAGAUAAGUUAUGAUCAAGCUACCCUUAAAGCCCUAAACCAAAACAACCACUUGUAAACGAUUUGACCAACCCUUUUAUGCUCAAACUUCAACCUUGGCACUUCCAUGACAUUUGUUCAUCUCUUCUUCUGACAAUAAAAAAGAGAAUGUGAGGACAGACACAUUUGACAAGGGCAUUGAGGACAUGGUCAUAUCCAUUAUCCAUGGUGUCAUCGGAUAACGCGAAAUUGGAAAUGAUAGAUGCUCUAAUGAUGUCUACCUUUCUGCUGCUAAUCAAGCUUCAUAUUCCGAUGAAGAUAUGUAUAAAGAAUAUAUGUUGAGAGUGUCAGUUUCAUAGGAUGAAAAUGAGUGCACGAACUGAAGGUUCCCUCUCAUGCAUAUGCCCUUCAGAGAAUAAUGGCUAUCCAAGUUCAACGAUCCCCUCGACUAUGUACUAGUGAAUGAAUCCCUAUGUUGGACCAAGGACAAGUUGCAGCAUCAUUUAUCCCCUCAAGGACUGACAACGGGGCAUUCAAACGUUCUCAUCACAACCCUUAGAGAACUGCAUUUCUGACUAUCGUCAUUGGUACAAUUAAAUAAAGGAAGAUGAUAUUUUAACAAUUUUUUUUAAUAAUUUUUGUACAACAGGAUAUGUGUCACUAUUUUAUUGGUUUGUUUGAAUUUAUUUUAAAAAGAUAUUUGAAACAGACUAAUCAUAAACUAUC